CCUACGGGUGGCUGCAGUGGGGAAUAUUACGCAAUGGGCGAAAGCCUGACGCAGCGACGCCGCGUGAGGGAUGAAGGUCUUCGGAUCGUAAACCUCUGUCAGCAGGGAAGAACGGUCACUGUGCUAAUCAGCAGUGAAUUGACGGUACCUGCACAGGAAGCACCGGCUAACUCCGUGCCAGCAGCCGCGGUAAUACGGAGGGUGCAAGCGUUAACCGGAAUUACUGGGCGUAAAGCGCUCGUAGGCGGUAUGUCAAGUCAAGGGUGAAAUCCCCGGGCUCAACGUGGGAACGGCCUUUGAAACUAGCAAACUGGAGUGAGUGAGAGGAUAGUGGAAUUCCAGGUGUAGGAGUGAAAUGCGUAGAUAUCUGGAGGAACAUCAGUGGCGAAGGCGACUAUCUGGCACAUAACUGACGCUGAGGAGCGAAAGCGUGGGUAGCAAACAGGAUUAGAUACCCGUGUAGUC
rnacentral:rRNA from 1 species